UAGCCCGAAACCCGUGGGCUGACCCGAUUAACCCGCCACCCGAGAGGGUUAGGGUUGAAUAUUUUCAACCCGAUAAAAGUUACAACCCGAUUAGCCCGUAACCGAAUAGCCCGGCACCCGAUAGGGCCGGCCCGACUAACCCGAUGGGCUAGCCCGAAACCCGAAUACUUAAUAUUAAAUAUUUAGAUAUAAAAAUAAAAAAAUGACAAAAUAUUAUAAAGUCUCAUCAUUUCACUUUUCUGUAUUUUU
rnacentral:lncRNA from 1 species